CCUUGUACACACCGCCCGUCACGCCAUGGGAGUUGGUUUUACCUUAAGCCGGCGCCUUAACCCGCAAGGGAGAGAGCCGACCACGGUAGAGUCAGCGACUGGGGCG
rnacentral:rRNA from 1 species